AGUGAACGCUGGCGGUAGGCCUAACACAUGCAAGUCGAACGGCAGCACAGUAAGAGCUUGCUCUUACGGGUGGCGAGUGGCGGACGGGUGAGGAAUUCAUCGGAAUCUACUUUUUCGUGGGGGAUAACGUAGGGAAACUUACGCUAAUACCGCAUACGACCUACGGGUGAAAGCAGGGGAUCUUCGGACCUUGCGCGAUUGAAUGAGCCGAUGUCGGAUUAGCUAGUUGGCGGGGUAAAGGCCCACCAAGGCGACGAUCCGUAGCUGGUCUGAGAGGAUGAUCAGCCACACUGGAACUGGGACACGGUCCAGACUCCUACGGGAGGCAGCAGUGGGGAAUAUUGGACAAUGGGCGCAAGCCUGAUCCAGCCAUACCGCGUGGGUGAAGAAGGCCUUCGGGUUGUAAAGCCCUUUUGUUGGGAAAGAAAAGCAGCAGGUUAAUACCCCGCUGUUCUGACGGUACCCAAAGAAUAAGCACCGGCUAACUUCGUG
rnacentral:rRNA from 1 species